GCUGGGCAUGGUGGCGCAUGCCUGUAAUCCCAGCUACUCAGGAGGCUGAGGCAGGAGAAUUGCUUGAACUCAGGAGUCGGAGGUUGCAGUGAACCGAGAUUGCACCACUGCACUCCAGCCUGGGCAACAGGGCAAGACUCUGUCUCAA
rfam:Homo sapiens chromosome 13, GRCh38 reference primary assembly.